UUAUGAAUUUUUAAGAAGCCACUUUCUCUCUCUGAUUYAGAACAAACCUGAAGAGAAGAAUCAUUUUAUAUAAAUUUAGUUUUGGUGUAAUUAAAGCAUGAUUUCUGCUCUUCUUGGACCGACACGUGAUCUUUCAGUCGACUCCUGCUACUCUUCUCCCAGUAGGAACAAAAACCGCUGCCUUUUGAUCAGUAAACACUUGGGCUCACAGUCCAGAACCUGCAGGAAACGGCUACAAACCGCUGCUCAUUUGUGGCUGCAGAGAUAUUUCUGUUUGUUCGUCUGGCUGCUGGGAGAAUAAAGCCUUCGUUCCUUCACCCAGUUCACAUCGGUAAUUUUAGAAGGGACAACUCUGUCUUUCCACAUCGGAGCCUGAAGUUUUUGAAUUAGAUGAGAAAGUUAUACCUCCACACCCACGCAGCAGACUGAAGGAGGUUAAAAGGCUGUGGCAAAACCUGGGUGAUGAACUUCAGAGGAAUGGGAAUAAUACAGGACUGUAGCUCGCAGGCAGCAGGAAACAGAAGAGCGGGAACACAUGGAGGCUGAGUUCCUGCCUUGUUCUCGGAGCACAGAAGGAGAAGCAGCAGCAGAAGCAGGAGAACACCUGGCAGAAGGAAGAUCUGACCUGUUGGACUUCAUGAACCAAUAAACGAGAUURCAGUUUUUUUGUUUCAGUUAUUUUAUUUUUUCACUUCUGAAUGUUUUGUGGUAUUUUAAUCAUUAUUAUUUCAAAAUGUUCCAAUGAUUCAGGAGACGAAUGC